GGGCAAUCUGACAACAACUUUUCCCACAACUGAGAAGAAUCUCCUAACAUGAGAGGCACUUGAAGACGUGUUAAAAUUUUUACAGCUAUUAACACAUUCCUAAGAAAAAUACUGCUGGAGACACAAGAAAGCCAAGGAUAACAAUCUUCUCUUUCCAAUGAAAACGUUUAGUCUGUUUGAUUAAAGGAAGAUAAAUGAAAGGGCAAGGGCAAACUCACCUCACAUUCUGUGCUACAGUUUGGUUUCCCUUGAGACCAAAUUGUCUCGCUCAGGAAAAAUGUAGUCUGUCUUCAAGUCCCUGUAUUCUGGAGCAAGGAAUCAGAUGAGGAAUCACUUAGCAUUCAGCACAUCUCAGCUGGCUCUGAAGGGCCUGAAUUCUCUGGCAACCUUGACCAGGGAUAAGCAGAACGGAGAAGGCAGGGCAUAGCCAUCAAUUUAUGUUUCCUUCUUCUCCUUAUCUCCCUAUUCCAAGAGAUUCAAAGAGAGGUGCAGAUAGCCCUCCAAUAAGAACAAAACCCUCUGGACCAGGGUACCUAGGCUCUGGUCCUAGCUCUGCAAUAACUGUGACCUUGAAAAACUAUUUGUUGUCGCUAAGCUUCAGUUUUUCUUUCCAUUAAAUUAGGGGGUUGGUCUAAAACAGUAUUUUCACACUGUGAUUUGGAGCCAUUUGUGGGACAUAAAGUCAAUUUAGUCAGUUGCAACAGGCAAUGCUUGGAAAGGAAAGAGGAUAAGAUAAGGGAUAAAGUAGGGAAUGGGAUGGGAUGGGAUGGGAUGGGAUGGGAUGGGAUGGAACAUAGGAUAAGAUAGCUUAGGACAGGACAGGAUAGAAAAUAUCACACUGCUUCAUUUUUUUUUUAUUGGUGUUCACAGAAGCCAGCAUUCAUUGAUGUUUUUACAACUUCCCCAGGUCUACCAGGCUUCUUGAUCUCACUUCUUCUAGAAGAAAACCCAGCCAAGGUGGUACAAGCUGUAGACAGUGCCACCCAGACACAGCUCCACAGUCCAUUGUAUAGGAUGCUGUCAGUUGUCCUGCCCUUUAAGUGCAUUGUGAGGUCACUGUCCACCUCAAUUCAUCAGGAGAGACCUAGUGUGGGUGUAGGGGUGCCUGAGGAGAAAGGGGUGCUGGUUCUUCCUUAUAUCCCCUGCCUGCCUCAGCUGGGCUCUGACCCAGCCAGCAGACUGGAGUCCUCUUCUGCAUGGUAUAUUCUUUCCUGAGACUUUUGUUUCAGUUAGGUGUGUGUGUGUUUCUGUUUUUGUGUGUGCAUGUGUGUGUCUUAAAAUAUAGUUCUAUGUAUUGUGUCUAGAAGAAUGUUUGAUAAACACUGGAUUGAAUGAUCUCUCAGAUUUCCUCUAGCUCUACUCAUGUGGAAUUUGGUAAGGAAACUGAGGCUUAGAGGAGUUAUGAAAUUGCCCAAGGUUUCACAGCUGAAAUGUAUAAGGACCUGGACUUGCAAAUUUGGCACAAAGUUCUUCUAAUAAGAGGCCAUAAAAUAACCAAAUGAUUUUUUAUGUGCCUAUAGAACCAAAAGAACUAUUUCAGAAUGUCAGCUGAAAAGCACGAUAUUCCAGAUAGGUAAGAAAGUCAAAGCUCAGGAGAAUUAAAGUUCUGUGGACUAUCAACUUUCCUCAAUUUUCCUUCUCUUCUAGGGGCUUCUUUACUCCUAGAAUAGAAAAGCUUGGAGAAUCCGUAGGAAGUUAAAGACAAAGUCAAUAUCUCCUGUUGAAAGUCAGGGUGAAAUCAUAUAUCUUAUGUAUUGUUAAUUCUUCCCACAGAGGUAUUUUAGAAUAAGUCCCGUCUAAUUGCAUGGUAAAUAGCACCUUGUUUAUCCCAAUGGGAAAUGAGUUGGAGCAUCCAACCCUCACACCCUUAGUUUAAAUUAUUUCUCUUCGUAAAGUCAUAAGACAUAUGCUAUGGUUUGAGUCUGCCCAGCAGCUGUCUAUAUGUUGGACAUGUGCAUUUGUUGUUAACCUCCUCUUGUUAACUUUUUUUUUGGCAUAAGUAGUAGUUUCGUUGUUCAUAGUGCAAUAGCAAUUAACAUAAUUGCAGAUAUGCUUCAAGAUUUUCAAGAUGAAUGGCUCUAUUUCCACUCAAUUGGACAAUAGCUUCCGCAUUCUGGAUAAAGCUCUGCCUCACAAUAGUUUUGUGUGAAAGGAAAGAGAAAGAGUCAGGGUAGAGAUAGGAACAUUUUCAAUGUAUUCAAAUACCAUUGAGGUAUGGUGCGUACGUAAAUAUAUAUAUGUGUGUAUAUAUAUAUGCAUAUAUACAUACAUGUACUAAAUUUGCAUUUGACUAAAUACAAUCACUGUAACUGCUUUCAUUAUAUUGUCUUGUCCCCUUCUAUCCUCAACCAGUAUAAAAUACUUGAUAUCCAUCAGGUUGAUUGGAAAGGGAAGGCUAUGGUUGACAAUACAUAUUCAUAAGUUGUGGACUUACUUUAUUGAAUAAUCAAUUUUGGAAAAUAAUAGCACAAAAAUCAGCACAUAGGCAACAAAUGUGAAAAAUGCCUGGUAACAGCCUGUGUUGCAGAAUUUCUGUCUUGGCCAAAAUUUAUAGUCAAAAUGAGGAAGACAUAAAAGAAGAAAUAUUUUUGGAUCUCAGACAUAGAUCAUGAGGGAGAGAGGAAGAGCAAGCAGUCUUUAGACAAGACAAAAAGUAAUGAAAAAGUAUUUCUAGUUCAACAGUAUUUGGGGGAGUUAAGCUUGGGAAACAUUUCUGAUGGACUAGCAUUUGGGAUGCCAAGCAAUCAACAAGGGGUAAUCUGGGGAGGCCAUUUCAUCCUUCAUUCCAUUGGAGGCAAAAUCGUGUUGAUGUAUAAAUGUACCUCCUGGUUUCCAAUUGUUCUCACUCAGCAAUGAGGCAUGAAGCCUGAGAAACCACAGAUAUUUGGAUCUAAGAAGGUAUUUUAUUUCCCCUCUCCAGAGUGGAAAAUACACAAGGGCACUUUAUCUUAGUCCUGUGAGUUCUCAUAAACCUAUAACCCUCUUCCUCUGAGCUUCAUGCUCUUUAACUUGAUCUGUACAUAAUUCUAUUACCUAAAGUGCCCUUGGUAUACACAUCCUAGACCAGGUGGAAGAUGGGGUCUCUUUCUUCCUCACAGAUUUCACAUCUUGCCCUUCUAGCCUUUCAGGUGCCAAAAACAGAUUAUCUUAAAGUGAAGCAGCAGCAUAGUUGGACUUUAGCCUCCAUAUGCUUUAAUUUUCUUAUCGAAAAGGAGGAAAAUUGAUUUUUCCUUGCCAUACACACACACUUACAUACCCCCUUUUUCUCCCCCAAAAUCUCCACAUCAUCUGAAUUCUUUAAUUCCCAAGACUGAAUCAAUCCCAAUAUCGUCUAUCAGGGAAAAAGCGAGACAGAGCAAUGAAUUCAGGGCUUCCCGGAGUGGUUUUUACUUUCCCAAAUCCUUAGAGACUUCCCUCUAAAAUUUUUUUCCCAGCUGUACUUGGAAGCUAUAACAGAUCCAGAGGCCAUUUUAGAACCUCAUUUAUAUUGUCCUGACACUUAGGAAUCCAGUUUCUGUUAUAGGGAUGUCAUCAAAGUUGGUGGGCUCAAAAUAUGACCUACUUUUUAAAACCCAUCUGUUAGGAGCCUAUAGAUUUUCUUGGUUUGUUUGUUUCUGACUGUCUACAGAAAGGGCAACAGCAACAUUCUCACUUUCCAAGCCUACCUCCCAAAUAGCAAUAAACUAAAUACUCACCAUGAAGGAGCUGAAUGCCUUUCAAAUAUGCAGCAGGCACAAAGCAAACAAACAAACAAAUAAACAACAGUGAUACUCCUUAAUCUGGAGAAAAAAGGAUGAGAGCAGGAAGUACCGUUCAGGUUAAUUAAUGCACAUCUAGACUAUUUUAAUUUAAAAACUUACUCUGGACCAGAUAGAACCAGUUAGCUUGCCACGCCUUUGCCACUGUGUGGUCAUGAUGUUACGAUUCUCUGUAACAAUGAGGCUUUUAAUACCACACAUCUAACAAAGAGGGAUUUGGGAACCGCAAGUUGAAGCUGAUGAAUUCUUUAACAUAAAUCACUAUUACCCAUGGAUUGGUGAGUUGAUCUUCAAUGUACCCUUUCAUUGAUUUUACCCUAGCUAGAUGGCUAAAACACACACACACACACACACACACACACACACACACACACACACACAAUGAAAUCUCUAAAUUUCCCCCAAAGUCUAUCAUUCCUGGAUUAGAAUAAAGCUACAAAUAGGGAUGGUGGAAAAAGAGAGAGAAAGAAGUGAGGGAGGAGGAAGGAGGGAGGGGAAUGGUGGGGAACAGGGAAAGUGGAAAAGAAGAAUAGGACAUUCAUAUAUACUGGCUGUUUAGCUAAAUUGUUUAUCUACCUAAAAUACACAUUGCACAUUUUUUAUCAUUUAAUUUUACAUCAUGCUGACCUCGACCAAACUUUGGUUACUGAGUUACUGAUUCAGAAGUAAAUUGUAAUAUGAGUGAGGAUCCUAUUUUAGAGUCUUUUAAUUAAAGUCCAGCUUCCUCAUGUCCAUGCCUCCCAUCUCCAAUUCUGUAAAGAAUCUUCUUUCCCUAUUACUGACCCUGCACUUCACUCUACUCCUGCCAGUUUUGUGCUCAAAACCUGUCAGUGGCUCUGCCUGGCCCACUGGAAAAGUUCUGAGUUAAUAGCCUCAUGUACAAGGCCCUCUGCCACCUGACUCAAAGCUUCAAUUUUAAACUUAUAUUUACUAUGCUUUGAUUUGAAUGCUCACAAAAUAGCUCUUCCACUUCUGGAAUUAUAUUAUAAUUUAAGUGAGAAGAAUAAAACAGGAGAGGAAUAAGAAGUAAAAGGUAGACUCUGUACUAGAAAAGCAAACAUUUUUCAACAAAUCCCUAAAACACACCAAUUGAUAUCUUAUUGGCCUGAAGUGUUCAUGUAGUUACAAAUAGCUGCAAGGAACUCUGGGAACAAAUAAUUCCCCAAAGAAAACUGAGGUUCUGAUAGUAAGGAAGAAAGGAAGAAUGGUUAUUGGGUAAACAACCUUCAAUGUGUACCCAAAAGCCCAAAGCCAGUAGUGGAAGGAGGUUACAAGAUAUUUUGGUAACAGAAAUUAUACAAAUACAUCUGCUGUGCAGGGCUAAGCUCUACAUAGUAGCCUAUGAAUUUACACAGGCUUUUGUUAUAACAAGUCAACUCUAGGCAGAUGGGAUAUAAAAUAUCCCAAAU
rnacentral:lncRNA from 10 species